rnacentral:rRNA from 1 species
GAUGAACGCUAGCUACAGGCUUAACACAUGCAAGUCGAGGGGCAGCAUGAACUUAGCUUGCUAAGUUUGAUGGCGACCGGCGCACGGGUGAGUAACGCGUAUCCAACCUGCCGUCUACUCUUGGACAGCCUUCUGAAAGGAAGAUUAAUACAAGAUGGCAUCAUGAGUCCGCAUGUUCACAUGAUUAAAGGUAUUCCGGUAGACGAUGGGGAUGCGUUCCAUUAGAUAGUAGGCGGGGUAACGGCCCACCUGGUCUUCGAUGGAUAGGGGUUCUGAGAGGAAGGUCCCCCACAUUGGAACUGAGACACGGUCCAAACUCCUACGGGAGGCAGCAGUGAGGAAUAUUGGUCAAUGGGCGAGAGCCUGAACCAGCCAAGUAGCGUGAAGGAUGACUGCCCUAUGGGUUGUAAACUUCUUUUAUAAAGGAAUAAAGUCGGGUAUGGAUACCCGUUUGCAUGUACUUAUGAAUAAGGAUCGGCUAA